rnacentral:rRNA from 1 species
GAUGAACGCUGGCGGCGUGCCUAAUACAUGCAAGUCGAGCGAACAGACGAGGAUCUUGCUCCUCUGACGUUAGCGGCGGACGGGUGAGUAACACGUGGAGAACCUACCUAUAAGACUGGGAUAACUUCGGGAAACCGGAGCUAAUACCGGAUAAUAUAUUGAACCGCAUGGUUCAAUAGUGAAAGACGGUUUUGCUGUUACUUAUAGAUGGAUCCGCGCCGCAUUAGCUAGUUGGUAAGGUAACGGCUUACCAAGGCAACGAUGCGUAGCCGACCUGAGAGGGUGUCAGUCGACACUGCAACUGGAACACGGUCCAGGCUCCUACGGGGGGCCGCAGUAGGCAAUCUUCCGCAAUAGGCGAAAGCCUGACGGAGCAACGCCGCGUGAGUGAUGAAGGUCUUGGGGUCGUAAAGCUCUGUGAUUAGGGAAGAACAAAUGUGUAAGUAGCUGUGCACGUCUUGACGGUACCUAAUCAGAAAGCCACGGCUAACUCCGUG